ensembl:lncRNA
UUGAAAUUAUCUGACACUUUAAAAAAAACAUCAUUCCCUUCUUUCUUCUUCCUCUUUUUUAACAAUAGCUAGAUGCUGAAGUACCGCAAACAUAACUUAAGGGCACCUGAACUACUUUAACCCCUGAGUAUAAAUACUAUAAAAUAUACCAUUAAACAUAAAGCAGAGCCAGUUUUGAACAUGUAAGGAGUAGAAAGUACAGAUAUUUGUUUACAAAUGUAAGGAGUAAAAGUAGAAAGUUAAGUAAAGUACAGAUACCUGAAAAUUCUACUUACGUACAGUAACAAAGUAUUUGUGCUUUGUUACCUUACUUUCUUCCCACCUCUGGUGACCACUGGUGAGCAUUCAGUUGUGUGUUGAUACAAUCCCAAGGAGGAAAGACAUCAAGAAGUAUUGUAGAGAGAAUUCUUGUAGAGAAGCAAUCCUAUCAAUCUGGGAAGGGUUUUGAGGCCGUUUCCAAACAGUUUGAAGUCCAUCACUCUACAGUGAGAAAGAUUAUUCACAGGUGAAAAACGAUAAUAUAGAUAAGUGCCAGUCUUCCCCAGAGUGGACUAACCAGCAAAUUCACCUCAAGGUCAGACAGUGCAAGGCUCAGAGAAGUCGCAAAAAACCCAAUUUCACAUCUCAGACUCCUCAGACCUCAGUUAGCUUUUUAAAUAUUAAAGUUCAUGACAGUACGAUUUAAAAAAAAAAAAAAAAAGGUUCCACAAGCUUCCACAAAAGGUUGCCAGGAGCAAAAAAAAGAGAGAGAGAAAGAAAAAAAAAAAGGAAGGGGCAACAAUUUAGCUCACAAGCAGGUUACCAUUGUUACGUUUCGGUGUUGUCAGUGUUUUGUUUUUGCGUGACUGUCAUGUGUUUCCUGUUUUAUUUUGAAGGUCUGUUGUUAUCUUAGUGUGUUCAGUUUACGUUUCCUUGUCUCGUCAGGUCUAAUUUGCCCCAGCUGUGUUUCCCUCCUGUGGUCCAUUCCCUGAUUGCUCCUUCUAUGUAUUUAAGCCCUGUGUGUCAGUUGGUCAUGGUCGCGAUCAAAACACCAAACUAUUUACAACACGUAAAUAGUUUGGUGUUUUGUUGUAAAUAAAUAGUCUGUUGUAAAUAGCUGUGAAUGGGUUUGUUAAUAUUUUCGUUUGAGACACCUUCGUUUUGGGAUUUUGGUGGAGAGCUUUAGUUUUUUUUCUCGUGUGUUUUUUUUCUUAUUUCUAUUUUCAUACGUUGCACGCCGGUUGCCUAGGCCGGGGUGUAACACCAUAUGUCGCAAGGCUGAAUGCAGUGGCUCAGGUUCAAUUCUGAUCUGAUCUUUUGCUGCACGUCUUCCCCCACACUCUCGCUCCGUGCUUUCCUUUCUCUCUUUACUCUGCCAUCUAAUGAGCUCCAGAAAUGCAUUAAAAAACAUAGCAGUAUAGCUUAGGUUUGCUAAGUUGAUUAAAGCACAAGAACAAGUUCCUUUGGAUACAAGAUCAAAGUAGAAAUAUUUGUUAAUAAUUCACAGUGCCAUGUUUGACACAAACACCUUAUGUCAAGUGUGAAGCACGGUGGUGGAGGGGUGACGUUUUGGGCUUGUGGAUCCACAGGUCCUUGCUGCACCUUGCAGAUACUGAGUCCACCAUGAGCUUGGGAUGCACCAAUCCAAUAUACAUCCAAUAUACAUACGUAGGAUCCUGACCUUUAUGCAAUAUAAGUCUUUUGCAUGAUGGUGGCAGUGUUUUUUUGUUUUUUUUUUUACAUGUAAUUGAUCCAGGCCUCCAUGCUAUGAAGAAAAGUGUACCAUACCAACACAUGCUGGCAGUGGUUCCUGGAGGAUGCUGACUGUAAUGAAACUGGAUGAAAUCACUUCCAAAGAAGGUCCUGCACCAAAAACAUCCUAGUGAUUGAUUUGUUUGCUGACAGAGUGGCCUGGUUGCCUGCAGUUUUUCAUGUUUGUCUUCAAACACUUGCUAACUACUAGCUGAGCGGUAGUACAAGUUGAAAAAGUGCUGCACAAACCAAAAUUGAAGAAGGUUCAUCGUCAAAGUAAAAGAAGUAUCUCAGCACUGCAGUGAAGGAUAUAAAAAAAACAACAACAGCAAUAGAAUAAUAUUAAACACAAAGUGAACCCGUCUUCCUUCAUUAAAUAGGUUCUUUUAGAUGUUAAGGAGGAAUUGACUUAACCAGGCUGGCGGAGAAUGAAGACAACCGGACACCUGCAGCAGAUGGGGGAAUCAGUGAACUUUUAUUGAGACAGAGACAACCUCUCAAACAGCUCACAUCAGGAGAUUCCUAAUAUUUGCUGUGAGGAUGGGUAUAUAUUCUCUAAAACUUACAGGAGGGGGUUGUGAGGACAGUGCUGCAUUAGCAGAAAAACAACUCCAUAAAAGGAAAGCGGC